rnacentral:rRNA from 1 species
GUCUUAAAGAUUUUAAUUUUAAGUCUAAUCUGCCCAAUGAAUAAUUUAAUGGCUGCAGUAUUUUAACUGUACAAAGGUAGCAUAAUAAUUUGUUUUUUAAUUAAAAACUAGAAUGAAAGAUUUAAUGAGAUAUAAACUUUUUUAAUUAAAUUUAUAUUAAAAUUUUUAUUUAAGUAAAAAAACUUAAAUAAUUAUUAAAGACGAUAAGACCCUAUAGAAUUUUAUUUAUUUAACUUUUAUUAAAAAAUUAAAUAAAUUUUAUUGGGGAAAUUAAAAAAUUUAAAAAACUUUUUUUUAAAAUUAUAUCUUAAAUAAAUUAUCUAUCUUAAAAUUUAAAGUAAAAAAAUUAAUUACCUUAGGGAUAACAGCAUAAUUUUUUUUAAAAGAUCAUAUUAAUAAAAAAGCUUAU